AGAAAGCUUGGAGAACUACUGCUCAAGAACACUUUAAAAACACAAAAGUGUCAUUUGAAGCAAGAUAUCCAGAAAGGAGGGGCGGCUCAAGACUUUUGCACAGAACAGUACAUAUGUUGACCUAAUUGUAUCUUUGGCCAAAACUAAUGAGCAUCCACCACUGUAACAGGAUAGACACAUGAAAGAUGAUAAGUAAAAGCAAAAUAUGUCCACUGGAAGUAUAAAUAAGAUCUAUUAAUCAUUAAUUCUAUGGUUUCGCAGAUUCAGACACACAGUCUGCCAUCGGUUAAACCUAGAGUCGGUUUAUAAGCACAUUCUCCCAGGUUCUGGAAAUCCAGAAGUGACAACCCUGCAUUCGGAGGUCGGACAUACAGUCGACUACAUCUUCUAUUCUCCAAAACGUGUUCUUACUGGUCGACAAGCUUGUGCUAGCUUUCUGAACGAUGGCCUGAAACUCAUCGGGUCUCUUUCUCUUCUGUCUGAGGAUGUCUUGUGGUCAAUGAAUGGCCUUCCCAAUCACAUAUUCCCAUCAGACCAUCUCAGUCUUCUCGCCAAAUUUCAGCUGGACCUCAGUAGUGCUUGACGGGAAGAACUGUGAUUGAAUGUUGGAACAUAUUUUCUUUCCAACUGUUCAUUUAUACAUGUUUUUGUUAUAAAUACAUUUUUUCUGCUUCACUUCUGGCAACAGAAUCACAGUUUUGCAACUGAAUAGACCUUCAUUUUUUUCCCCCAAAUAGCAUCGUAAAUAAUGGACACCAUUUUUCAGUUUACUUUUUUUGUGCUUUUUAUUAGAUAAAUAUUGAAAUGUGACAAUUCUUUAAUGAUGCUUUAACAGUUUCUUUUAAAAAUGCAGCCAUUGAUUGCUUUGUUGCUGGUGUGGAAACUACAUGGACCUGUUCAUGUUGCUGUUGGUGAAUGUUGUUUUGUUUGGGGUGGAAUUUUUUUCUUUUAAAUUUAGUUUUGAAACUAUGAAUAUUUUUUCAGAUUGUUAAUAAUGCUGAAUAAAUAUAUUCCUUAAA